rnacentral:rRNA from 1 species
CCUACGGGUGGCUGCAGUGGGGAAUAUUGGACAAUGGGCGAAAGCCUGAUCCAGCCAUGCCGCGUGUGUGAAGGAGGCCUUCGGGUUGUAAAGCACUUUCAGUGGGGAAGAAAGCCUUGGGGCUAAUACCCUCGAGGAAGGACAUCACCCACAGAAGAAGCACCGGCUAACUCCGUGCCAGCAGCCGCGGUAAUACGGAGGGUGCGAGCGUUAAUCGGAAUUACUGGGCGUAAAGCGCGCGUAGGCGGUCUGAUAAGCCGGUUGUGAAAGCCCCGGGCUCAACCUGGGAACGGCAUCCGGAACUGUCAGGCUAGAGUGCAGGAGAGGAAGGUAGAAUUCCCGGUGUAGCGGUGAAAUGCGUAGAGAUCGGGAGGAAUACCAGUGGCGAAGGCGGCCUUCUGGACUGACACUGACGCUGAGGUGCGAAAGCGUGGGAAGCAAACAGGAUUAGAUACCCCGGUAGUC